rnacentral:rRNA from 1 species
AACGAACGCUGGCGGCAUGCCUAACACAUGCAAGUCGAACGAGACCUUCGGGUCUAGUGGCGCACGGGUGCGUAACGCGUGGGAACCUGCCUUUAGGUUCGGAAUAACUCCCCGAAAGGGGUGCUAAUACCGAAUAAUGUCUUCGGACCAAAGAUUUAUCGCCUUUAGAUGGGCCCGCGUAAGAUUAGGUAGUUGGUGGGGUAAAGGCCUACCAAGCCGACGAUCUUUAGCUGGUCUGAGAGGAUGAUCAGCCACACUGGGACUGAGACACGGCCCAGACUCCUACGGGAGGCAGCAGUGGGGAAUAUUGGACAAUGGGCGAAAGCCUGAUCCAGCAAUGCCGCGUGAGUGAUGAAGGCCUUAGGGUUGUAAAGCUCUUUUACCAGGGAUGAUAAUGACAGUACCUGGAGAAUAAAGCUCCGGCUAACUCCGUGCCAGCAGCCGCGGUAAUACGGAGGGAGCUAGCGUUGUUCGGAAUUACUGGGCGUAAAGCGCACGUAGGCGGCGAUUC